rnacentral:tRNA from 1 species
GGCAGUGUGGCUCAGUGGAAAGAGCACGGGCUUGGGAGUCAGAGGUCAUGAGUUCGAAUCCCGGCUCUGCCA